GACGUAGGGCGCGAGCGUUGUCCGGAAUUAUUGGGCGUAAAGCGCACGUAGGCGGCUUUGCAAGUCGGAUGUGAAAUCCCUCGGCUUAACCGUGGAAGUGCAUGGGAAACUGCUGAGCUUGAGUACUUAAGAGGAUCGCGGAAUUCCCGGUGUAGAGGUGAAAUUCGUAGCUAUCGGGAGGAACACCAGUGGCGAAGGCGGCGAUCUGGGAAGAUACUGACGCUGAGGUGCGAAAGCGUGGGGAGCAAACAGG
rnacentral:rRNA from 1 species